rnacentral:rRNA from 1 species
GCNCCCUCCGCGCCACUCAGACUCCUACCGGAGGGCAGCAGUGGGGAAUCUUGCGCAAUGCGCGAAAGCGUGGCGCAGCAACGCCGCGUGGGGGAAGACGGCCUUCGGGUUGUAAACCCCUUUCAGUUGGGACGAAGCUUCACCGGUGAAUAGCCUGUUGGAGUGACGGUACCUUCAGAAGAAGCCCCGGCUAACUACGUGCAAGCAGCCGCGGUAAUAC